rnacentral:rRNA from 1 species
UGGGGAAUAUUGCACAAUGGGCGCAAGCCUGAUGCAGCCAUGCCGCGUGUAUGAAGAAGGCCUUCGGGUUGUAAAGUACUUUCAGCGAGGAGGAAGGCGUUGUGGUUAAUAACCGCAGCGAUUGACGUUACUCGCAGAAGAAGCACCGGCUAACUCCGUGCCAGCAGCCGCGGUAAUACGGAGGGUGCAAGCGUUAAUCGGAAUUACUGGGCGUAAAGCGCACGCAGGCGGUCUGUCAAGUCGGAUGUGAAAUCCCCGGGCUCAACCUGGGAACUGCAUCCGAAACUGGCAGGCUAGAGUCUUGUAGAGGGGGGUAGAAUUCCAGGUGUAGCGGUGAAAUGCGUAGAGAUCUGGAGGAAUACCGGUGGCGAAGGCGGCCCCCUGGACAAAGACUGACGCUCAGGUGUGAAAGCGUGGGGAGCAAACA